CCUAGAGGCAUUGCAGGUGUGGCUGCUGUGUCACAUGUGUGUCCUGAGAGGAGAGGCUCAGUUCUGACCUAAGAACAUCUGAAUGAUAGCAGC
rnacentral:snoRNA from 1 species